rnacentral:lncRNA from 1 species
CCCCGUUAUUUACCUGCCCCUUCAAAAUUUUAACUUUACGCAUAUAAAUUUAUACAUGCAUGGAUAUUUCAUUGUUAUUCUACUUAUUUGGAUUGGAUUUACUAUUCUUUUUCCGCAGAAUAUUCUAACGAAAAUUGUACAGUUGUACAGUGUCCGGAUAUGUACGAUGUGGUAAAACUACCAACAAUCUCCGGUCUCACUAAUUAGCGACAACAACAAUUUUAGCGACAACAAGCGUCAACAAGCGACAAAAAGCGACAACAAGAAUUAUUUUAGCGACAACAAGCGACAAGAAACUAUUUAGCGACAAGAAAACAUUUUUUUUUAAUUAAAAUUAAUUAUUGCAAUAAAUAUUAAAAGAAUAUGCAAAAGAAAAUAAUUUUAGGGACAAGAAAGUUAAAAUUGAUAGAAAAAAAUUAAACAUUAUUUACAUAAUAUGUUAUCAUCUAUUAUGAAUAACAGCCAGUAUUACGUUUAAUUAUUGUAUUAUGAGAUUACUUUUCCUUGUGUUUUAGAACAUAUUAUUUAUCUUAUAAUUUGUUUUUUAAAACUCUUUUCGUGCAAUAUAUAUUAAGCUCGCAAAAUGAAUUAUUUGUGCAUCAUUGUCCUG